rnacentral:lncRNA from 1 species
CCACUUCCUUCCAUCUUUUGCAUUUCUUCAUGCCCCAUGGCUAUUAUUGAACAACAUCAGCAUCAAAUCCUCCCUCGGCCAUCUCUCUCCUAGCUUCCAUUGCCAUCACGAAAGCUAUCAAGAUGAUCAUCACUUACUCAUCCUUCUCUAUCAGCCUCCCAUGCCACCACAAUUGAUCCAUUAUACAUCUCUUUAUGCCUCACCCAUCUCUCUUUCAAUCUCUCUAGGCAUCAAUAUUUUUCUCAACCACCAUGGAUAGAGGUGAC